AAAAGCGUCAAUUACCGGCGGCCUUUUACCGAAGGCCUUAGAGCCGUCGGUAAUGCAUUGGUGAUUUUAAUUACCGAAGGGCCUUAGGCCGUCGGUAAGGUCUUCAAAUUAUUUUUACCCAAAAUCCCACUCUGCAGUUCAUUCUCACCAGCCCUAGCUCGUCGAAUCCUUCCUCGUCCAAAACCCUUCGCUCCAAAACCCUUCCCCUUCGCUCCAAAACCGUUCCCCUUUGCUCCAAAACCGUUCCCCUUUGCUCCAAAACCCUUCAAAGCCCAAAUUCCAGAGGUGUUUCCGUCAGGGUGGUGGUCGUGCCAUCGAGGUUGGCAUUGAGGUGGAGGGAGCUAGUUCGUGGUCGUGGUCUGCAGCCUCUAUCGUCGUCU
rnacentral:lncRNA from 1 species